rnacentral:tRNA from 1 species
GGAAAGAUGCCGGAGUGGACGAACGGGACGGUCUCGAAAACCGUUGUACCCGUAAGGGUACCGAGGGUUCGAAUCCCUCUCUUUCCG